UCUGCCAGUAGUAAGAUGUAAAUGUUGAUUUCAAAUAAUAACUUGCUUUUUUAUUUAGUAUGCUCUCUACAUCGCCACUGGAAGAGCAUUUGAUUUCAGUCAGGAAGACAUGCCACAGAUUAGAAGAUGGUGGUGUCUUCUCUUACUUCGCAAAGCCAGCAUUAAAGCCAAGACUUCGGUCUUCACUUUCCACACGAGAAGAAGGACAUUCAGUGUACCACAGGUAGUGCUUCGUAAUUAUCAGUUGAAAAGUUUUCUGACACUAAUUUUAAAUAUUAGAACUUCACAAAAAGACUUUGAACAACUGGUCACACAGCAGGUCUCCGGUGAGGCCGUCACUGACUUGUGUCUCUCGUCAGCCCUGUGGUGUGUCAGUGGCAUUAUGGGGGCAGAGAAUGGUGGUCUUAAAAAUGAGGGUUUUGUGUGCUUGUGCUCUAACUGAUUUAUUAAAUGGCAAUUAUUUCUGCUUCCAGCAAUUCCAGACAAGAUAGGAAAGAGCAAGGACUUUCUCCCCCACCCUUCUUCUCCAUUACUAAAGAAUAUGAAAAUGUUGACUGAAUUAUUUAUGCCAGUGCAAUCAUAUUUAGCAUAUUUAUGGUUACAUUUAGUUGUUAGCAAAUUGUACCUCACAAAGGCACAGCCAGUCCUGUCAGGUAUGUAGUGAAAUGACUCUUAUGGCACAGCCAAUGCCUUAAAGGUGAUGACUUUCUUUUUCCUUUUCAAUAUCAUUCAGAAAUCAACCAGUCUAGAAUGGAGUGAUUGUUUGCUUCAGGCAGUAGAGACAAAAAGCGAGAGAAAUCAAUUGAGCUGAGCAUUCCUACGACAUGCUGUGAUCAUAUUGUCUUCAUUGAUCCAAAACAUCCUGGCUGCUUGUGACUGGCUGGAUGCCAACAAAGACCAACUUGUUGGGACAGAAUUCUGGAAAUGGACGAGGAUGAAGUUACAAACACAAUUGAAAAAUUAGAACAAAGGGGAGACGAUGAUGAGACUGAAGUAGUCAUGUCCACCUUCUUAUUUACUUUUGAAUGCCUGAAAGACAUGAACUUUUUU